GUCAAAACGAUUUUAUUUUCACAAUUUUCAUGAUUCUUAGAUACACACAAAAAGCAGUUGUACCCUGCUGGGAUAUUAUGGUGUAGCAAUUUUAGUCUAUAGAACAAAUAAUUUGGAACAUUUUUGCAGGCACAUUUACCCUCCUUGUCCAAUAUAGGUGUGUUUUACUAAGCACUAUCGUGCAGCAGAUGGUGGGCAACCUUGUCAUUAUUUGUAUUGAUCUAGGCUACGUUUACACUUGUACCGGAUAGCUUUCCGUAGCGAUGUGAAAAACACCUAUCCGUACCUUUUAGGAAUGCUAUUGUUGGAGGAAUAGACCUUUCUCCUUUUAAGUGAAAUUUUUAUCUAGACUAGCCUGCGGACAAAAAUUUCAUCACAGCUUGAGAGAGCAUCACAAAAUUAGUAAUAUUCCGAAGUUUCGUUGCAAAAUGUUUACCCUGGAACCAGAGGGUAUUUAUUUUCGCCUGUAAAAAACCUCUGGGCCAGGGUACAAAAUGUUGUAAAAUGGGGAUAAUAUAGCCUUGCGAAGUUUGCUGUUUUUCAGUCAUUUUGUAUUACAAAUGGGAAAUUGAUGAUCAGUUUGAUCAUCUGAUUAUCAAUUUCCCGUUUGUAAUGCAAAAU